GGUGUUUAAGCUGCAGUGACAUAGGUCACAAAACAGAACCCACCUUCAGAUGUCCCCGUGCUCUAUGAUGAAACCCAUCCACUACCACUUCAAACCACCAAAUUCCUCUGAUUUUCUUUAAGAACCUUCAUUUCCAGAAAUGAGAACCCGAUCUGGAAAAAGGAAAGCAACGUAAUCACCAUCACACUUCGCUAGCUCAUACGGGUCUAAUGACUCUAGAGCCGUUUCACCACCACUACCGAUAACAAACAUAGCAUCUCAUCCAUUCCUAUAGAUAAUACCAGAAAACGUCCAUCCAUGGUUGAUAUUCAGUAGUAGGGAUGAUAAGGAGGCUCGGGGUUUGAAAAUUCGAGGAAAAUAAUGAAAAGAACCUUCGCUCAACAUCGUACUAUCUAAUAUGAAGUGCUAAAAAAUAUGGGUUGUUAGACAGGGUAGAGAGUUUGUUCAACUCACAAUGGACCAGAUUGUUUGAAAUUGAUGCACCGACUUACAAAGAGCUCACUCUCGAGUUUCCUGCGUCUUUUUGGUUUCAAAAGCCUAUUCCAAAGGGCCAAAGGGGUACUUUAUAAUGUAUUACAUUUCGUAUGGUUAGGAAAUGGUAUUCUAUGACAUUGGCCGAUUUUGUGGUGAGAAUGCUUUUAUAGCAACGAGAUGUCUCUAAAACAAUGUUCACAAUGCGUAGGAUAGAUCUUAGGGGAACAAAAGGCUUGAAAUUUUGGGGAUGAGUAGUGGAAGGGGGAUAUGACCCAAGACACAAAAGAGCUCAAGCCUUCAUGACCUGCUUCACAAGUACCUCCAUAGGUGCCUAGUUUUCGCCAUCAGGGUAAGAAAGGAUUCAACGGUCGAGGUCACUACUAAAGACUUGGUCCACUUGUUUUGUAUCAUUGAUGAGGUUCCUUGUAACCUCGCUCAUAGCUGGCACAAUUUUUCACAUAAGCGGGAGAAACGGUCAAUGGUGAUCAUAUUUUUGGAGGCCCCUACAUCACCACUCUAGCCGACAAUUUGGGUGUCCUUAUCGAAUGAGUGACUAGUACCCUCACUCAUGACCCCACACCUACCACAGAAAUAGGAGAGGUCACAAUGGCAAAAAUGGGCAUCAUCAAGAAAUUUAACAAGGAAUACAAGCUGGUAGACGAGAAUGGUAAGAUAUGGUCCGGAGAAGAGGUUGGAGAAGCCUCCAAAGUAGCGCAAGAAAAUGAAGACGAGCCACAGAAACCUAAUCAAAGGGCUCAUGAAGCCACAUGGCCAAACUAGAUCAAAUUUUAGCCUAGCUCACGAGUCUUCAAUAGGAGCUCAGGACCCAUGUCGCCUCAUGUAGUGGUUCACAGUCCACCUCCAACUAUCUCCAUUCCGGAUGAUUUAUCGCUUUUCAUUAUGGUUAUCUUUUCAUGACUUUCGGAUAUUUGUUCACUUUGGUUGUUGGAUAUUUUUGAAAUUUGACCUAGACACUUCUUA